UACGAAGGGGGCUAGCGUUGUUCGGAAUUACUGGGCGUAAAGGGCGCGUAGGCGGCCAUUCAAGUUAGGUGUGGAAGCCCUGGGCUCAACCUAGGAAUUGCACUUGAUACUGUUUGGCUUGAGUUCGGGAGAGGUGAGUGGAAUUCCCAGUGUAGAGGUGAAAUUCGUAGAUAUUGGGAAGAACACCAGUGGCGAAGGCGGCUCACUGGACCGACACUGACGCUGAGGCGCGAAAGCCAGGGGAGCAAACGGG
rnacentral:rRNA from 1 species